rnacentral:rRNA from 1 species
CUGAAGCUUGGUGCUUGCACCGAGCGGAUGAGUUGCGAACGGGUGAGUAACGCGUAGGUAACCUGCCUCUUAGCGGGGGAUAACUAUUGGAAACGAUAGCUAAUACCGCAUAAAAGUCGACAUCGCAUGAUGUUGAUUUGAAAGGUGCAAUUGCAUCACUAAGAGAUGGACCUGCGUUGUAUUAGCUAGUUGGUGAGGUAACGGCUCACCAAGGCGACGAUACAUAGCCGACCUGAGAGGGUGAUCGGCCACACUGGGACUGAGACACGGCCCAGACUCCUACGGGAGGCAGCAGUAGGGAAUCUUCGGCAAUGGGGGCAACCCUGACCGAGCAACGCCGCGUGAGUGAAGAAGGUUUUCGGAUCGUAAAGCUCUGUUGUAAGAGAAGAACGAGUGUGAGAGUGGAAAGUUCACACUGUGACGGUAACUUACCAGAAAGGGACGGCUAACUACGUGCCAGCAGCCGCGGUAAUACGUAGGUCCCGAGCGUUAUCCGGAUUUAUUGGGCGUAAAGCGAGCGCAGGCGGUUAGAUAAGUCUGAAGUUAAAGGCUGUGGCUUAACCAUAGUACGCUUUGGAAACUGUUUAACUUGAGUGCAGAAGGGGAGAGUGGAAUUCCAUGUGUAGCGGUGAAAUGCGUAGAUAUAUGGAGGAACACCGGUGGCGAAAGCGGCUCUCUGGUC